UGCAUCGGAACGUGCCCAGUAGUGGGGGAUAGCCCGGCGAAAGCCGGAUUAAUACCGCAUACGUACUGAGGUAGAAAGCGGGGGACCGAAAGGCCUCGCGCUAUUGGAGCGGCCGAUGUCGGAUUAGCUUGUUGGUGGGGUAACGGCCUACCAAGGCGACGAUCCGUAACUGGUCUGAGAGGACGACCAGUCACACUGGGACUGAGACACGGCCCAGA
rnacentral:rRNA from 1 species